rnacentral:rRNA from 1 species
AACGAACUCUGGCGGCAUGCCUAACACAUGCAAGUCGAACGAGACCUUCGGGUCUAGUGGCGCACGGGUGCGUAACGCGUGGGAACCUGCCCUUAGGUUCGGAAUAACUCCCCGAAAGGGGUGCUAAUACCGGAUAAUGUCUUCGGACCAAAGAUUUAUCGCCUUUGGAUGGGCCCGCGUUGGAUUAGCUAGUUGGUAGGGUAAAAGCCUACCAAGGCGACGAUCCAUAGCUGGUCUGAGAGGAUGAUCAGCCACACUGGGACUGAGACACGGCCCAGACUCCUACGGGAAGCAGCAGUGGGGAAUAUUGGACAAUGGGCGAAAGCCUGAUCCAGCAAGGCCGCGUGAGUGAUGAAGGCCUUAGGGUUGUAAAGCUCUUUUACCCGGGAUGAUAAUGACAGUACCGGGAGAAUAAGCUCCGGCUAACUCCGUG